GAGAGAGAUCAUAGCACCACCAACAGUGAUGAAGAUGCUGGUGCGCAUCCCCUAGAUCCCACAGUUCCUGUGGAUGACGAGGCCCAACCAGUGCUGCAGCAAGAGAGGGAGGAGUCUUCAGCUUUGGAGGAGAAGAAAGCUUGUGCCAAUAUAUAGAUCUGCUGAUAGCUACUCUUUCUAAAGUGUUCAAGGUGCCCAGCUGCUCCCUUACUCUCUCUGCAGCCAUCUUGUGCUGUCAGGCGAUCUAUUCUCCAAUCAAAAUCCUCUUCAGCACCUCAAGGAUUUCAGACUGCUCCAACUGCAUCUGUAACUUAGGACGACUGUUCAACUUUACUUGUUCAUUUUGCCUGUUUUAUGUUGACUGUUUUGGAGUUAUCAAAGUUUGAUAGAUCAUGGCAACAACACUGUUCACCUCGUUCAAGUUACCAGUUAAUUUAGUUUCCAGUUAAUGGCUGCUUUGAGAAGAUUAAGAAUGUAGAAGAUCACAGACUGCUGUCUAUUGAAUUUACAGAUUUCUUGACGGUCUGCCACUGUGCGUAAUCGUGCCACUACACUUUAUCUCACUC